CGGGCUUUUCCAAAAAUACUAGGCCCGGUUUAGUUAUAAAAAACCCGGAUUUUUCAAAAAUCCGGAUUUUAUCCGGGUUUUUUUGAAAAUAUUAGGCCUGUUUUAGGUCCUCGGGCCGGGCCGGGCCAGACCGGGUUUUUUUCGGAUCGGAUUUUUCAGAUUUUUUCCCAGAUCGGAUCAGAUCGGAUUUCAGAUUUCGGAUUUUUUGAACAUCUCUA
rnacentral:lncRNA from 1 species